GACGAACGCUGGCGGCGUGCUUAACACAUGCCAGUCGAACGGAAAGGCCCUGCUUUUGUGGGGUGCUCGAGUGGCGAACGGGUGAGUAACACGUGAGUAACCUGCCCUUGACUUUGGGAUAACUUCAGGAAACUGGGGCUAAUACCGGAUAGGAGCUCCUGCUGCAUGGUGGGGGUUGGAAAGUUUCGGCGGUUGGGAUGGACUCGCGGCUUAUCAGCUUGUUGGUGGGGUAGUGGCUUACCAAGGCUUUGACGGGUAGCCGGCCUGAGAGGGUGACCGGCCACAUUGGGACUGAGAUACGGCCCAGACUCCUACGGGAGGCAGCAGUGGGGAAUAUUGCACAAUGGGCGGAGGCCUGAUGCAGCAACGCCGCGUGCGGGAUGACGGCCUUCGGGUUGUAAACCGCUUUCGCCUGUGACGAAGCGUGAGUGACGGUAAUGGGUAAAGAAGCACCGGCUAACUACGUG
rnacentral:rRNA from 1 species